GUUUGAUCCUGGCUCAGAGCGAACGUUAGCGGCAGGCUUAACACAUGCAAGUCGAGCGACAAAGGGGCUUCGGCCCUGAGUAGAGCGGCGGACGGGUGCGUAACACGUGGAUAAUCUGCCUCGUGGCGGGGGAUAACAGUCCGAAAGGACUGCUAAUACCGCAUGUCAGGUCGGAAACCCCGGUUUCUGACGAAAAAGAGGGCGCCCGCAAGGGGCUCUCACCACGAGAUGAGUCCGCGGCCCAUCAGCUAGUUGGCGGUGUAAUAGACCACCAAGGCUAAGACGGGUAGCUGGUCUGAGAGGAUGACCAGCCACACUGGGACUGAGACACGGCCCAGACUCCUACGGGAGGCAGCAGUGGGGAAUAUUGGACAAUGGGCGAAAGCCUGAUCCAGCCAUGCCGCGUGAGUGAUGAAGGUCUUCGGAUCGUAAAGCUCUGUGGGAAGGGACGAAAAAGCCUAACCUAAUACGUUAGGUCUUGACGGU
rnacentral:rRNA from 1 species